GACUUCAAAUGGGAAAGCCAUAAACAACAAAGUUGUACAGCUAAUCAAGAUCUACAACUUUUAUUUUGGUUACUUCUUCAUCCGACAAAGUGAUAGUUAUAUUAUUCACAAAAAUCACAUUUCUCUCAUCUGGUUUAUAAAUAUCAACACAGAUAUGUCAAUUUUAUAAACAUUGGUACUAUCACUUUGUUAGAUGAAGAAGUAACCAAAAUAAAAGUUGUAGAUCUUGAUUAGCUGUACAAGUUAGUUGUUUAUGGCUUUCCCAUUUAAAGUC
rnacentral:pre_miRNA from 1 species